UGGGGACAGUCAUCGCCACUUUCACUUAUAGUUGAUAUUUUGUCCAUACCUGUCGCCGCAAUCACGCACGCUCUUGAGAAGGAUGAGAUAGGUUUUUAAGCUUAGUAUUUCUUUUUAUAUUUGUUGAAUGGCGUAUUCUUACAAAGUCUUUAGUUAAGACCGACAUUUAAUAAGACGUUUUUACUUGAUAUGAAGCAGUGUUUUACAAGGGAAUGUACUAUAUUUAUCAUUGAAAGAGGAUCAAAAUAAAGUCUGGAAGACCAUAUUGUUAAAAUGUGGGAAGGCCAGAAGAUUUCUAGAAAGAAUAAUAACGGAUCUGAGUCACAAUCGUCAAUCAGAGAAUUGACAAAAUGUUUUAAAAGAAAAUUGGCCAACCAUUGAUGCUCAGCAAUCUAUUAUUUCAUUUAAGAAUAAAAAAUGAUGACGUCGAUCCAGAAAUGUAUCAUUAUGCACUGGAUUAUUAUUAUGUUAAGGAAAUGAACGCAACAAAGAAAUAUUCCAUUGUGUAAUAGGUUGGUAUAUACCAAGAGUCUGUAUUUUCAUCUCGAUUCUGUUCUCGCUGGUAAUUAUUAGAUCCUCAACAAGAAUAUCGCCACGAUAAGAUCAUGCCUCAACAAACUGUUCAAUCCUCCAUGAUUACUGGAUUUUCAUUGAAUAAGAACGGUUAUUAUUCGUAUGAAAAUAGAAAAGAAAAAUAUCUUAGGGUUCAGGGAUAUCAUUCGAUAAUAUGUAUUCGUCAGUUAGUCGAUGGUUUCUCGUCGAAAAAUUCAUUAUAUUCUCUAUCGAAAGAUUCAUUAUGUACGCAAAGAUUGAGAAAAGCAAGAGAACUAUCCAAGAGAUCAUCGGAAUCAUCUGAAAGGAUAUUGAAGAACAUAGAGAUGACAGAGUAAAUUUAUUUAUCGAAUUUGCUUAGCCUUAUAACAAUCAUAGAAGAGGAGAAAAUCAGUUUAUUACAAAUGAUGCUUAAAGAGAAUGUCACUGAAGAUUGUGUGGAAACCAAUGAAUGAUCGUUGAUGAAAGAAGGAUAAGAUGUGGACCACGUUCUUGUAUCAAUCUUGCUAUGGCAAUCUAUCCUCACACGUACGUUUAUCUAUUCAAUGGAUCAUUUUAGCAGUAGACGCAUCGUUUCUAAGCUUUUUAUGGAAAAGAACAAAAAGUCCACGUGCUAAAGCAUCAUCGAAGGUUCAAGAGAUAUCUAUAAUGUCUAUAAUAACGAUAGUAGGAUGCGUAAAUCAAAGCAUUGGCUUAUUUGAGAUUUUUAUUUGGCGAUAAAUUGAACGAUUGGAACGAAAAAGUGAUUAAAUUUAUUGUCAGGUUUUUCACUAAUUAAUUAUUUAUCAUGUUAUGAAUAAAAGUUCGAUCACUGAAUACGUAAGCCAUUGUUUUAAUGUCUGUAGCAUUAAACGCUGAGAAAAUUUUCAUCAGCAAAUUCAUCGACAAUUAUUUUGUUUUAAUUAAAAGAAGUAAGCGAAUAGAUGAUUGCCGGAUUGUAUUCUCGAAUGUUUGAAGGAAGUAUGAAUUAGAGUCAGCUGAAGGUUCAAUUUAAGGUGUAUGAUUUGUCCAGUCGUUAGGAACAAAAUAAGAACUAGUUUUAUUAAUUACAUUUGAGCCUUUUUAACAUUUAAUAAAAUAAAAUUUGUUAUCAACCAGAA